GAGGGAAGCUUGCUUCCCGAUUUAGCGGCGGACGGGUGAGUAAUGCCUAGGAAUCUGCCUAUUAGUGGGGGAUAACGUUCCGAAAGGAACGCUAAUACCGCAUACGUCCUACGGGAGAAAGUGGGGGAUCUUCGGACCUCACGCUAAUAGAUGAGCCUAGGUCGGAUUAGCUAGUUGGUGGGGUAACGGCUCACCAAGGCGACGAUCCGUAGCUGGUCUGAGAGGAUGAUCAGCCACACUGGAACUGAGACACGGUCCAGACUCCUACGG
rnacentral:rRNA from 1 species